GGAAAUGAUGAUAGUUUUUUGUCGCCCCAGUCUUAUUUGCAUCUCAUGAUGCAAGAUGGUGAUUGACACAUUAUCUGAUUC